UACAGAGGUCCCAAGCGUUGUUCGGAUUCACUGGGCGUAAAGGGUGCGUAGGUGGUCGGGUAAGUCUGAUGUGAAAUCUCCGAGCUUAACUCGGAAAUGGCAUUGGAUACUAUUCGGCUAGAGGGUUUGAGGGGGGACUGGAAUGCUUGGUGUAGCAGUGAAAUGCGUAGAUAUCAAGUGGAACACCAGUGGCGAAGGCGAGUCCCUGGAAAACUCCUGACACUGAGGCACGAAAGCUAGGGGAGCAAACAGG
rnacentral:rRNA from 1 species